GGAGUGGUGGCUCAGUGGUUAAGAGCACCAACUGCUCCUCCAGAGGUCCUGAGUUCAAUUCCCAGCAACUGCA
rnacentral:tRNA from 2 species